CGUAGGGGACGAGCGUUGUCCGGAUUCAUUGGGCGUAAAGCGCGCGUAGGCGGCUCGGAAAGUCGGUCGUGAAAGGCUGGGGCUCAACCCCGGGACUGCGUCCGAUACUUCCGGGCUGGAGGUAGGUAGGGGAGAUCGGAAUUCCUGGUGUAGCGGUGAAAUGCGCAGAUAUCAGGAGGAACACCGGUGGCGAAGGCGGAUCUCUGGGCCUUACCUGACGCUGAGGCGCGAAAGCUAGGGGAGCGAACAGGAUUAGAUACCCUGGUAGUCCUAGCCGUAAACGUUGGGUGCUAGGUGUGGGCGGACAUCGACCCCGUCCGUGCCGAAGCUAACGCAUUAAGCACCCCGCCUGGGGAGUACGGCCGCAAGGCUA
rnacentral:rRNA from 1 species